ACCUCAGGUGUUUCUCAUAUGUUGCUAAACCUCAGAGUUAACUAUAUCUUGCCAGAUCUCCUCAUAUACAUUUCUUGUGAUUUAUCACUCUGUGCUAUGAAGCCUGGAAAUUCAGUAAUCCAAAAAACCUUUGGUUUAAAAGGAGAGUUGAUGCUUUCAAUUUUCAUUUGUGCUCUAAAAUGCAUGGAAAUUGCAAGUCAAAGUGCCCAACUAAACUGCUGCAAUCACCAGCAGUGACAGCACCAACAUACGGAGAGCACAGAAAUGGGAUCUAGCAAUGGGUGGAGAAAAGCAGGCCUAGCUCAUCUCGCCCCACCUGCCCGCUGACACCUGAGGUGGCAUGGGUGUAAGCACUGUUACUUUACUGGGCAAUGGCUCCCAGAAACAUGCAGCCAAGGCAACACAACUCAUGAAAGAGAAUGCUUCCUCCACUGUGCAAGAGAGGAAUGAGGUACAUCUGACAUUUUCACUCAUUUCUUAAGGAAGUUUCUCAUGAUUUCUGCAACUUCCCCUUGGCCUGGCCACAAUUCAGCCCUUGGUGUUCAAGGCUAUAUACAGUUUGACACAUCAGUUUUAAUGUGGUUUCAGACUUUAAAAAGUUAUUCAUCAUAGGGACAAAGAGAAGGAACAAAAAUACAUUAGAAAGCAACAUCUGGAAUAGGAGAGAAAGAUCAGUAAUAAUUAUUGUGCACUUUUCUGCGGCUUACUGUUCUGCACGCAGUCUUCAAAAGAGUAAUUUCCAGAUUCACUGAAGGUUACUAAAAAUAAGAAUUAUGUAGAAGUACUUAACUGAACAGGAACUGAAGUAAUUGAAUGAGUUCUGAAGAACAACUUUCACAUUUGGUAAAGGUAUUGCUCAAGCAGGAGUUUCCUCAAAGCAGCUUAUUUCCAGGGGUGAAGCUGGUCAGCUGUCCCGCUCCUGGGGCCACCCACCUCAGCUCUUACCCCCCCCCCCCAAGCCAGUUCUCAUUUCCCAGCUUGCCUUUGCUGGCUAGGUUUAUAUAUUUUCCUUUCUCUCCCUCAAAGGAGGGAGAGAAUGGCGGGGGGGGGGGAUAUGCACAGCCAGCAAACAAUGGGUGGGAAUGAGUUCCAAAAGGCUUGCAAAUGUCCAGUUUAAGCCCACAUCUAAACACCACCAACACAGCAUGAUCUGUGUCAUUCCUCCCCAAAAGAAAACCAGGUCCAGUUAGGGGUCAGCCAGACAGGACCAUUUCUCCCUUCCAAAUUAUUCUGGCCCUGGCCCAAAAUUAAUCUCUGCUCGACCCCCCUACAAAGCUGCAUUAAGCUGCAGCUAGACCUGACUGCUGACCUGCAACUUUUCUACUUCUCGACUCCGUAUUGCCUAAGGCAGGUUGUUAUAUUUGUCUUCCUGAGAAGAUGCUCUCCUCUUGUUGUUUACUAUUGCAGAGCAAUUGAAUAAAUUGUUGAGCCGUUUCACCUUCCUGUGGUAGCUAAAGGGGCCAUUCACAUGACCUACUGGGCGGGUGGGGAAAAUGCAAAACUGGCCUUGCCCCCAGAUGAGCAUUCAUGAGGCUUGUGGGAUGAUGAGCACUUGAGCCUUGUGGGAGCAUGCUCCGCUCUCCUAUACGACCUUCACUGCUCCAUGCAGCACGGAGCAGGGCAGACCACUCUGAGGCCAGGACUCGUUACCCCCCACCCAGGUAUCCCAUAGUGCACCGCACACUGAGCGCAGUGCACUGGGAGAUUCCCAGUGGGAAUCUUUAGGCACCCAUCUCUGUGACCUCAUGAAUUACAAGUAGCCUGCACUGACACAUGAUCCCGGGAGCUGGGUUACAGGCAUGUUUGCUAAGAGCCGGGUUUGGUCCUGAGUUUGGUGCUGCAACACCGCUGGAAUCUGCAUGUAUCUCGGCAGUUCUCAUAGCUGCCUAAGCCUGGGCUUGGUUGUUCAUGGGAACAGCCUCCAAGUGUUUUUACCCAAGGAUAUGGGUGGGCUUUAAAGUUUUUGUUCAGAACUUCAGAUUACUCUGGAAAUAAUGCAGAGUACUUUUUUCUGACUGAGAGAGAAAAGCCGAACUCACAAAGCAUCUUUUUCUGCACCUGAGAUGUCUAUGACCAUCUGCUCUGGAUUAGAAAUGUAAACAGAAUCGUUAUGUUUUGUACAUUUUUCAUUUGCUUUAUGUAAACCUCUUCCUUGACAAUCCUUAAAGUACUACAUAUUUUAUUCUUUUUAAUGUGAUUCUGUUCUGUGUGCUUCUGCUGCUGCUGGUGGUUUUAUACUUUACACACCUGAGCCCCUUCUUUCACAAGUCAUUGAAAUCAGAGGAUACACAAUCUGUAAAAGUCAUUUAUGACUCUGUACAUGUCCUUCCAUACACGUCUUCUUCCCAUCUUCCAUGUGAAUUGUUCUGUUUAAAUGUAAAAAAAGAAAAUGAUAAUUUCUGUUGCAGAAUGAUCAUGUUUUUUUAAGUCACUCAGAUAGCUAAAAUGCUGCUGAAAAGUGGAAUAAAGCUCUCUCAGUUGCCUGACAUUGAUAACUAAAUUGUAGUUAUUGUAAUUGUUUUAUAUUUUAAUGAUGUUUACUUUGUUUUAGUUCUUGUAUCUUGUCUUUUGUACUGACCAAUGGUCAUGCAAUAAAGAUGUAAAAUAACAAGAACUGCCUAGUAAGAACAGU